UACGGAGGGGGCUAGCGUUGUUCGGAAUUACUGGGCGUAAAGCGCGCGUAGGCGGACCUGCAAGUCGGGGGUGAAAGCCCGAGGCUCAACCUCGGAACUGCCUUCGAUACCGCGGGUCUCGAGUCCGGGAGAGGUGAGUGUAAUUCCUAGUGUAGAGGUGAAAUUCGUAGAUAUUAGGAAGAACACCAGUGGCGAAGGCGGCUCACUGGCCCGGUACUGACGCUGAGGCGCGAAAGCGUGGGGAGCAAUCAGG
rnacentral:rRNA from 1 species